rnacentral:rRNA from 1 species
AUUGAACGCUGGCGGCAUGCCUUACACAUGCAAGUCGAACGGUAACGCGGGGCAACCUGGCGACGAGUGGCGAACGGGUGAGUAAUGCAUCGGAACGUGCCCAGUAGUGGGGGAUAACUGCUCGAAAGAGCAGCUAAUACCGCAUACGACCUGAGGGUGAAAGCGGGGGAUCGCAAGACCUCGCGCUAUUGGAGCGGCCGAUGUCAGAUUAGGUAGUUGGUGGGGUAAAGGCCCACCAAGCCAACGAUCUGUAGCUGGUCUGAGAGGACGACCAGCCACACUGGGACUGAGACACGGCCCAGACUCCUACGGGAGGCAGCAGUGGGGAAUUUUGGACAAUGGACGCAAGUCUGAUCCAGCCAUGCCGCGUGCGGGAAGAAGGCCUUCGGGUUGUAAACCGCUUUUGUCAGGGAAGAAACGCUCUGGGUUAAUACCUCGGGGUAAUGACGGUACCUGAAGAAUAAGCACCGGCUAACUACGUGCCAGCAGCCGCCGCCGUAA